UCGGGAAUAUUGCGCAAUGGAGGAAACUCUGACGCAGUGACGCCGCGUAUAGGAAGAAGGUUUUCGGAUUGUAAACUAUUGUCGAUAGGGAAGAAAAAAGACUGUACCUAUCAAGAAAGCUCCGGCUAACUACGUGCCAGCAGCCGCGGUAAUACGUAGGGAGCAAGCGUUAUCCGGAAUUAUUGGGUGUAAAGGGUGCGUAGACGGGAUGUCAAGUUAGUUGUGAAAUACCUCGGCUCAACUGGGGAACUGCAACUAAAACUAACAUUCUUGAGUGCAGGAGAGGAAAGUGGAAUUCCUAGUGUAGCGGUGAAAUGCGUAGAUAUUAGGAAGAACAUCGGUGGCGAAGGCGACUUUCUGGACUGUAACUGACGUUGAGGCACGAAAGUGUGGGGAGCAAACAGG
rnacentral:rRNA from 1 species